UGGAAGGAAAAUGAAGACCCAUGGGAUCAACAUGCCAAAUGGUUUCCUGGGUGCAGCUUUGUGAGAAAUGAAAAGGGGAUAGAAUUUAUAAAUAAUGUCCACUUAAGAGAUGGAUGUAGGGAUUCAACACCAGAAGCUGCUGAAGGGAUGCUUCCUAAAGGUACCUGUUUAGAAAAAAAACCAAACCAAACACACAAACACCCCCACUCUCCCUGUUUUGCAAUAUCCAUAUUCACAUGUAUAGUAAAGGAAAUGGUUAAUUUUAAAAAUAACCUUAUUAUGUUUUUAAAGAAAGCAUGACAGGCACAUUAUUGGAUGAUACUUGUCCAUUGCUUCUAAAGAACCGUGGAAUGAAUUUUAUUUCUGUUCGGGGAAACCUAAUCAUGGUUGAAUAAAUAUUGUAAA